rnacentral:rRNA from 1 species
CCCUUAGAUGUUCUGGGCCGCACGCGCGCUACACUGACGAUGGCAACGAGUUUUUCCUUCGCCGAAAGGUGUGGGUAAUCUUUUGAAACAUCGUCGUGCUGGGGAUAGAUCAUUGCAAUUUUUGAUCUUGAACGAGGAAUUCCUAGUAAGCGCGAGUCAUCAGCUCGCGUUGAUUACGUCCCUGCCCUUUGUACUCACCGCCCGUCGCUACUACCGAUUGAAUGGUUUAGUGAGGACUCCUGAUUGGCGCCGCCGCCCCGGCAACGGAGCAGCGGACUGCCGAAAAGUUGUUCAAACUUGAUCAUUUAGAGGAAGUAAAAGUCGUAACA